rnacentral:piRNA from 1 species
UAAUUUUCGAGGCUUCAAAAC